ACUGGCGAACGGGUGAGUAACACGUAGGCACCUGCCUUGGAGAUUGGGAUAACCCCGGGAAACCGGGACUAAUACCAAAUAAUUCCUUCGGGAUAAAGUGGGCUUCGGCUCACACUUCAAGAUGGGCCUGCGUCCGAUUAGCUUGUUGGUGAGGUAAUGGCUCACCAAGGCGAUGAUCGGUAGCUGGUCUGAGAGGAUGAUCAGCCACACUGGGAUUGAGAUACGGCCCAGACUCCUACGGGAGGCAGCAGUGGGGAAUUUUGCGCAAUGGACGAAAGUCUGACGCAGCAACGCCGCGUGAUCGAUGAAGCUUCUAGGAGUGUAAAGAUCUGUCGUGAGGGAAGAAAAAUCUGGAUGUAAAUAAUGUUCAGACUUGACGGUACCUCAUAAGAAAGCACCGGCUAACUUCGUGCCAGCAGCCGCGGUAAUACGAGGGGUGCUAGCGUUGUCCGGAAUUACUGGGCGUAAAGGGUCCGUAGGCGUCUUGCCAAGUUGAUCGUUAAAUCCACCGGCUUAACCGGUGUUCUGCGAUCAAAACUGGCAGGAUAGAAUAUGUGAGGGGAAUGUGGAAUUCCUGGUGUAGCGGUGACAUGCGUAGAUAUCAGAGGAACACCAAUGGCGAAGGCAGCAUCUGGCACAUAUGACGCUGAGGGACGAACGCGUGAGGAGCAAACAGGAAUAGAUACCCUGGGAGUUCACG
rnacentral:rRNA from 1 species